rnacentral:misc_RNA from 1 species
AAUUAUGUACUACAGGAAAUAUCACAAUCAGGAAUUCUGCAUUGAAAAAGUCAAAAUGCAACAAUCCAAAGAAGUAGCACAAAUUACUUCCAUUAAGUACAAGUACAUAUCAAUGUUUGAACUUUAACACAGUAGAACGUAGAAACCUUUUGGUCAUAUGCCCUAAAAAAAGAUAAGCUAAUUAUAGCACCCCAAGCAGGAGGAAAAAAAACACAUCUGCACAGUAAGAAAUGGGCUAGCGGAUCACUUGAAAACUGUAGAGAUGUAGAUAAAAACUCCAAAUCUAUGAUGAUUGAUAAGGUUCUUUUUCUCGCACCAAAACCGGGAGCCCACCGCUAAAAGUGGCUGUCAGCCCUGGGGAGAAACGUGGAGUGUGACAUGAGGUCAUUAAGUGGAUUUGAAAUCGUCGAAGCAAUGAAAUAGCCACACAUUUAAGCUCCAGUAAAGCCAUAUCUUUGCCCAAACAGACCCUUAGUCCUGCUUGGAAAACUGGAUACUUAUAAGGGUUUUCAGGGAAGAAUGUGCCAUCAUCUCUCAACCACCUUUCUGGCCUGAAUUCUAAGCAAUCUUGACCCCAGAGUUCUUCAAUCCGUCCCAUAGCGUAUGGAUGGUAAGUAACCCUAGUUCCUCUCCUCACCAAAGUCCCAUCUGGUAAAAUAUCAUCUUUUUCACAAAACUUUGAAUCAAAUUGGAUAGGAGGAUACAGUCUCAUACUCUCGUAAACUGCUGCUUGUAAAUAAUGGAGAUCUCCCAUUUGUUCAUAGCUUCUGAGCUCUUGAUUGGGUCCAAGAACGCUAUCCGCCUCUUCCAGAAUUGCUGAUCCUACUUGUGGGUACUUAGCCAGCAGCCAGAAGAAGCUGGUUAAGGCUGAAGCCACCGUGUCUCGGCCAGCCAAGAGGAAACUUAUGACGAUAUCUCUCAAGUAAGUCUCAUCAGUCACAGUAUGCAUAAAGCGAGAUAAAAGAUCCUUGUGAGAUAGAAAUCCCAUCUUACGCCUUUGCCUUAUCACCUCUUGGGCUAAAAUAUUGAUCAACUUGAUAGCUUCUUUCAUUUUCUUCUCCGUCCCUAAAUUCAGCUUCCGUUUGAUCUUCCAAACAAGUGGAGACACAGUCAUGGCUCUCUCGGCUGACAAUUUCGAUGCUAGGUCAAAGGCAUAAGCGAAAUCUGACAUGGGUAGAGUAAUCUCUAAGCAUCUGGGGUCUAGCCCAAACGAAAAUCGGCAAAUACAAUCGAAAGAAAAUCUUCGAAACACGUCUUGUAAAUCCAAGACUCCAUCUUCUUUGCCCGAAACUGAUGAUAACAGUGGAAUAAGGCGAUCUCCAAUCUCAUAACGAACGAUCUCAAAUGCAUAUGCUCUUAUAGAGAACUUAUCCAGCUCGAGACUUGCCAUCUUUCGCUGAAACUUCCACAAGUCACCAUCAACGUUGAAUAUGCCUCGACCCAAAAAGUCACCCAAGAUGGUCGAGAAAGGUUUCCCUUUUGGGUAAUUAUCAAAUCUCGUUUUGAGCAUAUACUCAACGUUUUCUGGAUUGGCUGUGAUUGUAUUGCCAAGAACAUGUAUGUGGAUUGUUUUGGUAGGAGAGUUCUUCAAAAGAUGAGCAUACCAAUCACAAAGAUUAUUGAAUUGGUUGGUCCAACUCAAGGUCAGAUAAGCGUCGCAUAUCUCACAGUUGCACCAGAGCUUUAAUCUCAGUAAGUAGAGUAAGAGAGACAAAAGAAAGAAAGCUAUGAUGGCCAAUAAAAGAAAGAAAUAGAUGGAAUGGUGAGCUUCCAAAAGCAAUGAAACUUCAAGCUCCAUUAAUGGAUAAAGAUUUGUUAAGAAAAAAGGGAAAGUAACCAAGAGAGAAUAAAAAAGAGGAUUUGAGAAUGACACAGACAAAGAAGAGACCAGUAGGAUGAACAAGAGCGUAAUUGAAGGGUUUUUAUGUAUGGCUUAUUGUUUUCUUUA